rnacentral:rRNA from 1 species
GACGAACGCUGGCGGCGUGCCUAAUACAUGCAAGUCGAACGAACCGCGACUAGGUGCUUGCACUUGGUCAAGGUGAGUGGCGAACGGGUGAGUAACACGUGGGUAACCUACCUCAUAGUGGGGGAUAACAGUCGGAAACGACUGCUAAUACCGCAUAGGACAUAGGAUCACAUGAUCCAGUGAGGAAAGGUGGCGCAAGCUAUCGCUAAGAGAUGGACCCGCGGUGCAUUAGCUAGUUGGUAGGGUAAAGGCCUACCAAGGCGAUGAUGCAUAGCCGACCUGAGAGGGUGAUCGGCCACAUGGGGACUGAGACACGGCCCAAACUCCUACGGGAGGCAGCAGUAGGGAAUCUUCCGCAAUGGACGCAAGUCUGACGGAGCAACGCCGCGUGAGUGAAGAAGGUCUUCGGAUCGUAAAGCUCUGUUGUUAGAGAAGAACAGCGCAUAGAGUAACUGUUAUGCGUGUGACGGUAUCUAACCAGAAAGCCACGGCUAACUACGUG